CUCAACACGAGUGGGAGCAGGAUGGUGUAGCUGAGGAAUACAAGGCCUACCUGGAGGGCACGUGUGUGGAAACACUCCACAGAUUACUGGAGAACUGGGAGGAAACUUGGCAACACUUAGGUAAGUAGUGUAGUGUGAGAAACAAUCCCACCUCAGCUCCCUUUUUCUCUGGUUGGGAAAGAAAGGAGAUAAGGUAGAAUCCUGCCUUUGUCCAGCCUCAAGAUACAGGGAAGGCUUCUAGUUUUCUUGACUCAGUAUCUGAGAGGGAGAGAGGGGCUUUCCUCUCCUUUUUGUGUACCCUUCUCUCAGGACAGCUCAGAGUCACUUUCAGGAUGGAAACCGAGACGAUCCCUGGAAUGACCAACAGUAGCCCCCUCAGUCCUUUGGAGCAGUCGUUUCUCUGGGGCCCUGUUCUCUGCACACACUGGGGUCUGACACUGGCCACACUGACUGUCUCAGAUCCACCCAGUCUGGAGCAGGACUCUCUUUGUCGAAAGAACCCCCAAAGACACAUGUGACCCACCACCCCAGUCCUGAAGGUGAUGUCACCCUGAGGUGCUGGGCCCUGGGCUUCUACCCUCUGAUAUCACCCUGACCUGGCAGUUGAAUGGGGAGGACCUGACCCAGGACAUGGAGCUUGUGGAGACCAGGCCUGCAGGGGAUGGGACCUUCCAGAAGUGGGCAGCUGUGGUGGUGCCUUCUGGAGAGGAGAAGAAAUACACAUGCCAUGUGGAGCAUGAGGGGCUGCCUGAGCCUCUCACCCUGAG
rnacentral:lncRNA from 1 species